rnacentral:tRNA from 1 species
AAACUGGCAGAUUGUGGUUUUGUUGAAUACUGGUUUGUAUUAGUAAU